rnacentral:rRNA from 1 species
UACGUAGGGGGCAAGCGUUGUCCGGAAUCAUUGGGCGUAGAGCGCGUGUAGGCGGCUCGAUAAGUCUGCUGUGAAAGUCCAGGGCUCAACCCUGGGAUGCCGGUGGAUACUGUCGAGCUCGAGUCCGGAAGAGGCGAGUGGAAUUCCUGGUGUAGCGGUGAAAUGCGUAGAGAUCGGAAAGAACACCAACGGCGAAAGCACUCUGCUGGGCCGACACUGACACUGAGAGACGAAAGCUAGGGGAGCGAAUGGG